CAAAUCUUUAUGUUAAGAAAACAAAGGAUAGGUGCAGAGACUCAAUGGAAGCUGUUCUAACAAAUGGAAUUGACGUUGACUACGUUGCGUUGGUAGCUGAAUCCCUCUAUCGAAAUUACAGAAAGGAUGACCCUAUAUGCGUAUAUAUACAUACUGACAUAUCAAACGAUUAAUCACAACUCGAAUCUGGAAUCCAUAUUAUUAACUAUAGUUAUAUAUUAUAACUAUAUAUUAUAGUUAUUAUUAUAUAUAUUUUAUUUAUAGUUAAAAAAAGAUAUAUAUACAUUUUUUUUUAAUUUAUAGAUUAAUUAAGAGUUAUUAUAAAUAUAUUCCAGUCGAAGUUGAAGGAAGAAUCGAAUAUUCAGUAUUCAGUGAUCAAAUCAUUCAUUCCGGAGUCGGAUAGAUCUUUUGAAAAAAUGAUUAAUCGGACGAGAAUAAAGAGAGAGUCCCGUUCUACGUGUCAAUACCGACAGCAAUGAAAUUUAUAGUAUUAGGAAAAUCCGUCGACUUUAGAAAUCGUGA
rnacentral:precursor_RNA from 1 species